rnacentral:rRNA from 1 species
UAGGGAAUCUUCGGCAAUGGACGAAAGUCUGACCGAGCAACGCCGCGUGAGUGAAGAAGGUUUUCGGAUCGUAAAACUCUGUUGUUAGAGAAGAACAAGGACGUUAGUAACUGAACGUCCCCUGACGGUAUCUAACCAGAAAGCCACGGCUAACUACGUGCCAGCAGCCGCGGUAAUGCGUAGGUGGCAAGCGUUGUCCGGAUUUAUUGGGCGUAAAGCGAGCGCAGGCGGUUUCUUAAGUCUGAUGUGAAAGCCCCCGGCUCAACCGGGGAGGGUAAUUGGAAACUGGGAGACUUGAGUGCAGAAGAGGAGAGUGGAAUUCCAUGUGUAGCGGUGAAAUGCGUAGAUAUAUGGAGGAACACCAGUGGCGAAGGCGGCUCUCUGGUCUGUAACUGACGCUGAGGCUCGAAAGCGUGGGGAGCAAACAGG